CACCGCCUUUCCCACGCGCUCUCACCGCAAACUACACGUGCAGUUCCUGGCUGGAUUUAUUUGAGCUCUAAGCUCAGUAUUCCUCCUGGGAUCUCUUGGGUCUGAUUACUGGCUUCUGGCAUCUGAAUAUUGUGGAGAUGAUGCUCUUUUCAAACUAUAUAGAGUCACCAAGAGCGUUGAGCUCUAUCGGCCACCUUACAGUGAAAAGAGAGGAGGUGCUGGAAUACAGAUCUCAACACUCUUGGGUUCACUCUCCUUCGCUCAUUUUACACUCCAAUAUGAGCACAUCGUUACCAUACAUGACUGCAGCGAUAGAUGAAAGCUCAUUACGCAGCGUGGUGAGGAGAGGCAUGCAGAGGAAGUGGUUGGGGGAAGUGGGGCACAGGGGUGGCUAAUUGGGGUGUGUGAUUACACCGGCUGCUGUUAGCAGGAAUUAGACAACAACAGACCCGGCAGUAUGGCUCAUCAUCGCAGAAAAAGGAGAGAAAGGCGAUAUCGCUGAUAUAUUCCUAAUUAUACCAAACACCUUUCCUCUUGCAAUAUCACAUGCUGGAGCAUAACGGCAACGUAAUGCAAUCAUUGUCUACACGCACAUGCAAAAAGUAAAACUCAGGCAUUAGGAAUCACAACUUUUGAACUGCAAUGUGGUCAUAUUUACUGUUGCCCGGUAACAUUUUUUUGGUAAAAUCCAGUCAUUUCAAUGGGAAGUAAAGGAUUUUGACUUCUGAAGAAUUUCUUUAUUUGCCUAUGAGUUUUGACACAAAUUAUUUAAUGCUGACUAUUAUCAAGUCUUUGGUUCAGCAGCGACUCUCUGUGGGUCGAGAUCCUUAACAAAGCAAAACUAAAGAUCCACUACACUUCAGUAUUAUAAAAUUAAACAAUUUAAGUCUUAAAUUAUUAAGUCUUAAUCAUUUAAACUUAAUUAAAUAAAAGGUUGUUUGAAAAGCAGUUAUUUAUGUUUUGUUUGCUAGUCAGCCAAAAUAGCUUUAAAUUUUUUAUUCGUCAUUAUUUUAUUCAUCACAUCCAGUCCCACAUUCUUUCGCCUGUUAAAUUAUUAAUGAAUGAUUAUUCAGACUACUUUUAUGUGUCAAUUUUCUUACCAAACUAACUUUUAAGAACAUGUUUUUGAAUUCCGCAGAAAGCGCUGUGACUGGUUAGGGUCGAGAAAGUUGAUGAGAAAUAAUAACAACCCCUAAACCCACCCUAAAUAUGUGUCACGAUCAUUACAUGGAGCGCCCAUGAACUUUUGUAGAGGGCUUUCCAAUCAGGACAAUUCCACAUUAACCACCAGAUGUCACCCGGACUCUAGCACCUCUCAUC